AUUGAACGCUGGCGGCAUGCUUUACACAUGCAAGUCGAACGGUAACAGGCCGCAAGGUGCUGACGAGUGGCGAACGGGUGAGUAAUGCAUCGGAACGUGCCCAGUCGGGGGGGAUAACGCAGCGAAAGCUGCGCUAAUACCGCAUACGAUCUAUUGAUGAAAGCGGGGGACCGUAAGGCCUCGCGCGAUUGGAGCGGCCUAUGUCAGAUUAGGUAGUGGGUGGGGUAAAGGCUCACCAAGCCAAAGAUCUGUAGCUGGUCUGAGAGGACGACCAGCCACACGGGGACUGAGACACGGCCCAGACUCCUACGGGAGGCAGCAGUGGGGAAUUUUGGACAAUGGGCGCAAGCCUGAUCCAGCAAUGCCGCGUGCAGGAAGAAGGCCUUCGGGUUGUAAACUGCUUUUGUACGGAACGAAACGGUCCUGGUUAAUACCCGGGGCUAAUGACGGUACCGUAAGAAUAAGCACCGGCUAACUACGUGCCAGCCGCCGCCGUAAAAC
rnacentral:rRNA from 1 species